rnacentral:rRNA from 1 species
GAUGAACGCUGGCGGCGUGCCUAAUACAUGGAAGUCGAGCGAACGGACGAGAAGCUUGCUUCUCUGAUGUUAGCGGCGGACGGGUGAGUAACACGUUGAUAACCUACCUAUAAGACUGGGAUAACUUCGGGAAACCGGAGCUAAUACCGGAUAAUAUUUUGAACCGCAUGGUUCAAAAGUGAAAGACGGUCUUGCUGUCACUUAUAGAUGGAUCCGCGCUGCAUUAGCUAGUUGGUAAGGUAACGGCUUACCAAGGCAACGAUGCAUAGCCGACCUGAGAGGGUGAUCGGCCACACUGGAACUGAGACACGGUCCAGACUCCUACGGGAGGCAGCAGUAGGGAAUCUUCCGCAAUGGGCGAAAGCCUGACGGAGCAACGCCGCGUGAGUGAUGAAGGUCUUCGGAUCGUAAAACUCUGUUAUUAGGGAAGAACAUAUGUGUAAGUAACUGUGCACAUCUUGACGGUACCUAAUCAGAAAGCCACGGCUAACUACGUG